UUUAUUUCAACCAGAUUUCCCACUUUUCCAUACCUAAGGCCAGAACAUCGACACCAUUUUUUCACCUUUAAGAUGAUUUAUUUUAACGAAAAAAUGACUUGCGAACGGAAUAUAGUAUGCUUUUCUACGUAAAUAUAUAAUCUUCUUCUCUACUAGUCACUGACAGCUUUUGAACUAAUCAAAAAGAUACGCUGAAGAAAGUCUUUGUAUAUUCAAACAUAUUCUUAAUUAAGUUUUAAGUUUUUCAAUUGUAUUUGUGUUGUGUAAUAUGAUAUAAAGUUUAGAGAGAAAUGAUUUUAUAUUUUUAUUUUAUAAAAAUAAAAAAGAUCUAUAACUAAGAGUGCGUCUGGUAUGCUUCUGGAAACACGGAGCGCUCCGUGCUUUCAAGUCGUUUUCGAUGUUGGGACUUUCGAAUCAACGAUCAACUCCGUUAGACUUGACCUAGAAUAUUUUAAGUAUCUAGACAAUAAAUUUUGCAAUUUUUUUAUAUCAUUUGCCUAGUGAUUGAAGUGGCUCAAAAUCAACGGCUGAAAAUAAAAAUCUUACAAAAUAUGAUGAUAUGACAUUAAAAUUUUAGAUCAGAAAUAUUGAUCUUGUUUUAUAUAGUAUAAAAAAUUUUCUAUCAAAAUUUCAUGUGAUUUGGAUAUUUCUACACCGUUAAACUUGCAAACGGCUCACCACGACCUUUAAAAUUAUUGAUUUUGAGCUCCUUCGAUCAGUAGGCAAAUGAUAUCGAAAAAUCACAAAAUUUAUUUUCUAGGUACUUCAAAUAUUCUAGAUCAAGUUUAAAAGAGCCGAUCGUCGAUUCGAAAAUUCCAACAUCGAAAACGAUUUGAACGCACGGAAGGCUUGCUACUUUCAAAAGUAUACCAGCUCACUCCUAAAACUUAUGUUUUAAUGUAUCGUUGGCUGUGAUCCGAUCUCUCAGUCACGGGCUGAGCAAACUUUGGCCCAACGUAGAGUUUUCUUUAGAUUAGAAAUCUAAAAGCUUCAGUUUUCUUUUUUUUUUUUUAUUCAUUCAUCUAUUUAUUAUUUUCACAUUUCUGCCCGUUUGGUUUAGGGCAUGUUUGGUUGCUCGAAAGUCAGCGAAGUGAAAAAAGUCACUUUUAUGAAAGUGACUUUUACAAAAGUGAAUUUUCAGUUCGAUUGUUUGGUUGCUAUAAAGUAAAAAAUUAAAACUAUAAUUUUUUAAUUUUUUAAUUAUUAAAUUAUAUAUAAAUAGGUGAAAAUAUAAACAAACUACUUAUACAUACAAUUUAAAUUAAAAAUUUAAAUUUAAAUUAAUAUUUAGAAUUCAAAGUUAUUUUUAAAAUUUAAAUUUAAACUUAAAUCUGAGUUGAAUUUAUAAUUAAAAUUUAAGACAUAAAUUUAAUUUACAAUUUGAAUUUAAAAUUUAAGUUGUAACUUAAAAAUGAAAUUAAAUUUUAAAAUAAAAGUUCAACAAAAAAAUUAGAAUUUAAAUUUAAAUUUAAAUUUAAAUUCUAGAAUUCAAAUUUAAAUUCAAAUUCAAAUUUACAUUCUAGAAUUCAAAUUUAAAUUUAAAUAAAAAUUAGAAUUUAAAUUUAAAUUUAAAUUCUAGAAUUCAAAUUUAAACAAAAAAUAAAAUUUAAAUAUUUAGAUUUAAAUAUAAAGUCAAAAAUUUGAAUUUAAAAUUUUAUAUUGAAUUUUAAUUUACAAAUAAAAUUUAAAACGUGAUCAUAAUUUUAAUUCAAAUUUAAAGUGAAAUUGAACUUUAAAAAUAAAUUUAAAUAUUAAAGUUAAGACCGAAUAUAUAACCUUUUAGCUAAGCUCUCCACUUUCGAUGACUUCUGUAUUUUUUGAGCCGAAAUCAAAAAAGUGAUAUUUAGUUAUAACUCACUUUAUCAGCGUACUUUCGUAAAGUGACUUUCAUAUUCAUUUUCAUAAACCAAACAACCGAUAAGAUAUCACUUUCUAAAAGUACCACUUUCAAUGCUACACUUUCGGCGAAGCAAAUAUACCCUACACGAACUCAUAAGUGUAACACAGAAAACACGAUGAUCUCACACAAAGCUGUAUCAUCCAAAAUAUUAAUCUGAUAAAAACUUAAUGAC
rnacentral:lncRNA from 1 species